rnacentral:rRNA from 1 species
AAUGCUACACUCCAGGAACAAUAUUCAGCUCUAUGCAAUAUUAUGAGUCACAAGGGUGAUACUAUCACCACGGUUUUGGAAUAUUUUCCACCAAAUGUGACGUUCAAAAGAGAUUUAAUUGGACCCAGACUCCAAUCGUGUAAUAUCCUGCUCCAAUGAUUGUCCAUGGUGCAAUUGUCACAUGAGUCUGAUGUAUUUCGUUGGAACCUACAUGAAAAUGGACAAUUCUCAGUGGUGUCGGCUUUGCUCCAGUAUGAUGUGCCAGUUGAUAAUAACAAGCAGAUCUGCAAGAUAAACAUACAUCUUAAGAAUAAAAUCUUAGCAUGGUAUCUUCAUCGCGGAGCCAUUCUUACUAAAGAUAACCUUCUUAAGAGUAAUUGUCAUGGAAGUACACAAUGUGUCUUUCGUCGGCAUGAUGAGACAAUAAAACAUUUGUUCUUCAAAUGCAAAUUGCCUCGUUCUAUAUAUCAGCCAUCCAAAUAG